rnacentral:rRNA from 1 species
AUGCACGCUAGCGGCAGGCCUCAUCCCUGCCAGUCGGACGGGAUUCAGGAGCUUGCUUCUGCUGAGAGUGGCGCACGGGUGCGUAACACGUAUGUAACCUACCUUUAUCAGGGGGAUAGCCUCUCGAAAGAGAGAUUAAGCCCGCAUAAAAUCACAGCACAGCAUUGUGUAAUGAUCAAAUAUUUAUAGGAUAAAGAUGGGCAUGCGGAACAUUAGCUAGAUGGCGGGGUAACGGCCCACCAUGGCGACGAUGUUUAGGGGAUCUGAGAGGAUGGCCCCCCACACUGGUACUGAGACACGGACCAGACUCCUACGGGAGGCAGCAGUAAGGAAUAUUGGUCAAUGGGCGGAAGCCUGAACCAGCCAUGCCGCGUGCAGGAAGACGGCCCUACGGGUUGUAAACUGCUUUUAGACGGGAAUAAACCCAGAUACGUGUAUCUGGCUGAAUGUACUGUAAGAAUAAGGAUCGGCUAACUCCGUG